GGUGAAGUCGGGCGCUCAGCGGGACACUGUACUGUCCUGUGCUGGGUGGUGCUGGGCCUCCCAGAGCGGCCUGAACCCUUCUUUUUGCUUGCGUUGUUGAAGGAAGGCAAGUCUACGGAUAGGAAUGAGUGAGGCACAGUUCCCUGAGGAUGCCAUAACUUACCCGUUUCUUGUGUAUUAAGUGACAUCACGUGUUACCAAACUAAACCGGCUGCAUUUGCCUGCGCACAACGUAAAACCAAACACCCAAGCAUUGGAUUUUUGUAGCAAGAAAGAUGUAUUGCCAAGCAGCCUUGCAAGGAGACAGAAGAUGGGCUGAAGUCUGGCUCCCAAUACUUGCUUCACAGCAGUAGAUUUAAGGGAGAGAUUUUGGAAUUGGAGUUUCGGGCUGGGCAGUGAUUGGCUGAAACGAAGAAACGUUUAGAAAAUCUCUUGGCCAUGAGCUGUUGCUUCUUCAUGCUGCUUCAAGGAUCACAUGCAGAUUCAGGAGUUGGUUUAAAACAAGCUCUGGAAAUCCGGGCUGUGACAUCAAAGGGCCGCUCCUCGGGCUAACUUCCCAAGUUCACUGUGUUACCAAAAAGCAAGACCUGCCUUCUGCUCCAUCACCCCGGCUGUCACCCAACUUGGAUUCAAUCCCAGCACUGACACAUCACAAAAUCACAAAAGUGAGCAAACCAUUACCUCCCUGAGUCUCCUUUUAUCUAUAAAACUAGAAAAAUAUACUUUCCAUAGGAAUGUUGUUGAGAAUAAUAAAACAUUAUGUUACAAGUUCUAGUCAUUGCUGAUGUUUAACAGGUAACAGUGAUAAUUAUUUGUCUUCUCAUUAAUGAAAAAUAGAUUAUUAAUCAUAGUGGGUUGAAGGCAUCUAUGGGAAGUAGAGAUUUGAAGAUAGGCUAAAACCCAAGUAAGGCCUCUAGAUUAGAUAAUAGUAUUGUAUCUAUUUUAAUUUCCUGCUUUCAAUCACUGUGCCAUGGUUAUAUAAGAGAAGUCUUUGUUUAUAGGAAAUAUACACAAGAAUUUAGAAGUAAA